CUUCUUUGUGUAUUUUUAGAAAUGUUAAAAUUGGUGUUUUGGUCUGUCUGAGACCAACAAUUUAGGAAGGAGAGGGGAUAAUGAUGUUUUCUGGUCAGGAAAUGAGGACGAAGGAAGCAGCAACACUAGUAGUUUUUGCGUGUAUGUCCUUCAUUCUGGGCGUCACCAUGGCAACCAUCUACAACAUGUUCCUCGUCCACACCGGGUGCUGGACCUCAAUGAUGGUGAAGAGGGAAGGAACAUCAGCUCUCGAGGAAACCCUUGGCCUCAAAUGAAUUCAUUGGAGGACACGGGGGGUGGAAGAUCGUGGACAAGUCGCGCUCGGAUCGAAGGAGGGAACAAGACGGAGGAGGCCGGCGUUGACGUGUCGUGCUUGGGUACGGAGUAGCUCGCGGGAGCACCACCACAUCCCACGCGUGAGCAUCUGCAGAUACAGUGGACAAUGCUCAGAUCGGAGGCCACCGUCGGAGUCUCCAUGCUAUAUGUGGUUGGGAUCA
rnacentral:lncRNA from 1 species